AGAAUCUUCAUGCCCCUGAGCUCCAGUGAACAGGGGUCAUGGAGGAGGAAGUAAGGCAUACUGAAGUGGUUCUCCAAGGACAGUCCCUGGACCAGCAGCAGGAGCAGCCUCCGGAGCCUGUUAGAAAUGCAAAUUCUCCUACCCACAUAGCAGACCUACUGAGUCAGAAAUUCUGGGGCAGUGGCGGUGGGCGAGGGGUGUUGGGGGGCAGCCAGCAGUGUUUCAGUCAAACUUCCAGGUGAUUCUGGGUCACUAGAGUUGAGAACCACUGAUUAAGAACACAGACAAAACAUGAACAGACUUUGCUCCAAAGGCCAGCUCUGCCACUAAUUACUUGGCCAGGUCACUUUCACCUCUCUGAACCUCAGUUUCCUCACCUGUAAACUAAGAAUGAUAAUCAUGGCCAGGCGCCGUGACUCACACCUGUUAUCCCAGCACUUUGGGAGGCUGAAGUGGGUGGAUAACUUGAGGUCAGGCAUUCAAGACCAGCCUGACCAACAUAGUGAAAUCCCGUCUCUACUAAAAAUACCAAAAAAAAAAAAAAAAAAAAGCCAGGUAUGGCGGUGCACGCCUGUAAUCCCAGCUACUUGGGAGGCUGAGGUAGGAGAAUCGCUUGAACCCGGGAGGUGGAGGUUGCAGUGAGCUGAAGAUUGCACCGCUGCACUCCAGCCUGGGUGACAGAGCGAGACUCUGUCUCAGAAAACAAACAAACAAAAACAAUAAUCACGCCUAUCACUAAAGUGUUGUUUUGUGGAUUAAGGGAGUAAAUGCAGGUAAAGUGUUUAGCACUGCUCUUUGCAGAGCCUGGAUGAGGGUGAGGCCAGGGAGGCACAUAGGGUCAAGCGAGUGCCCCCUUAAAUUUUGCAUCCGUGAAUGGCUCCUUCACCUCACCCUAGUUCCAGCUUUGUUUCUUAUAUUCCAAAAGUGCUCAGCAAAUGAUUCCUACUAUUUUAUAUUAUUGAGGAAUCUAAAGUUUUAUUCAUUUUAGGGGCCUUGGUCAAGCAGUGUUCUGGAGUCAAAGUCUUUAGACAGUUUGGUGUAGAGGAAAGAGCACUGGCUUUGGAGUCCACAGGCCAGGACCUGGACCCUAGGAAGGCUGGCCAAGGAGAGAGACACAGAACAGAGGCUCCCCACACACCCACGUGGCUCCCUAAGCAAGGCUCCUUUCACUGGGCAGGGCACUUUCUUCCCCUUAUCUUCUUUCUGAGAGAAAACAGAGGCCACUCUCAAGUUUGAACUCUCUCUCAUCUGUGAUCCCUGUGUUUUCUCUAGUAGUAGAUGUCCAAAAAGCAUUUGACAAUCCAACAUCAAUUUCUUUUUUUUCUUCUUCUUCUUCUUUUUGAGACAGUCGUGUUCUGUCGCCCAGGCUGGAGUGCAGUGGCGCGAUCUUGGCUCACUGCAACCUCCGCCUCCCAGGUUCAAGGAAUUCUUUUGCCUCAGCCUCCCGAGUACCUGGGAUUACAGGCAUGUGCCACCACACCUGGCUAAUUUUUGUAAUUUUAGUAGAGACAGGGUUUCACUAUGUUGGCCAGACCACUCAAACUCCUGAUUUCAGGUGAUCCACCCGCUUCAGUCUCCCAAAGUGCUGGGAUUACAGGCGUGAGCCACCGCGCCCAGCCUCCAACAUCAAUUUCUGAUUAAAAGUCCCAGCAAAUUAAGACUAGAGGGGGAAAAAGGCCGGGAGUGGUGUCUGACGCCUGUAAUCCCAGCACUUUGGGAGGCUGAGGCGGGCAGAUCACAAGGUCAGGAGCUCGAGAACAGCCUGGCCAAUAAGGUGAAACCCAUCUCUACUAAAAAUACAAAAAUUAGCUGGGCGUGGUGGCAGGUGCCUGUAGUCUCAGCUACUCAGGAGGCUGAGGCAGAAGACCUCAGCUAACCCGCAGCUAACAUCAUAGUUAAUGCGAAAGACUGGAAGAUCUCCCCCUUCUGCAUUCGCUACUCUUCUAUGUUGUAUCAGAGGUUCUAGUUAAUUCAUUAAGGCAAGUAAAGGAAAAGGCAUCCAGAUCAGAAACUGCCUUUAUUCACAGAUGGCAUAAUUGUCAAUGGGGAAAAUCUGAUGAAAUCUACAUUAAAGCUGCAGAACUAAUAAGUGAGCUUAGCAAGGUUGCAGGAUAUCAAAUCAACAUAAAGAAAUCAAUUUUAUUACUAUACACAAGCAAAAAAAAAUUGGUAAUUGCAAUUCAAAGACAAUACCAUUUACAGUAACACAAAAAUAUGAAAUGCUUAGGCAUAAGUCUGGCCAGAGCUGUGCAAGAUUUAUACUGAAAACUACAAAACAUUGCUGAGAGAAGUUAAACAAGACCAAACUAAAUGAGGAAAUAUCCCAUUGCCUAAUUCAAAGUCAUGAAGAUUUAUACCUAUGUUUUCUUCUCAAAGCUUUAUAGUUUUAGCUCUUACAUUUGGGUCUUUGGUUCAUUUUGAGUUAAUGUUUUUAUAUGGUGUAAGUCAGGGGUCCAACUUCAUUCUUUUGCAUAUGGAUAUCCAGUUGCCCCAACACCAUUUGUUGAAGAUUCUGGUUUUUUUCCUCCAUUGAAUGAUCUUGGCACCAUUGCAGAAAAUCAACUUAUCAUAAAUGUGAGCUUGUAUUUCUGGACUCUCAAAUUCUGUGCUAUUGAUAUAAGUCUGUCUUUACACCAGUACCACACAGUCUUGAUUGCUGCAGAUUUGUAGUAAAUUUUGAAAUUGUGAAGUGUGAGUCCUCCAACUUUGUUGUUUUUCAAGAUUGUUUUGGCUAUUCUAGGUCUGGACAACUGAUUUUUUACAAAAAUAUCAAUGCAAUUUAGUAGAGAAAGCAUAGUCUUUUCCACAAAUAUAGUUCUGGAACAAGUGGAUAUCCAUAUGCCCUUGAUUUUUUACUCUCUUAUAUCUGUGACCACAGCUUUUGGCUCAACCCCUGUUUUCUGAAAUGCUUCUCUUCUUCUGGAAGUUGGUUUCUUAUUUCUUUUCAAAAACAUAAAUUAAAUUAGGUUUAUUGAAUUUAAAUAUUCUUGGUCUGUGCUUUCUGUUUUUGAAGGCUGUGCCUUUUCUCUCCAUUCAUAGACUGUUUCCUGAAAUCUGGGAGUGUGAGGAGCUUAAAGGGAAACCCUGACUGAUGGGAGCUGGGAAGACAUCAUGUGAAUUCUCUCCUGUGCCUUUUCCAGACAAAUGGCCUUCCCUCCUGCUGGAUGGCCCUGGGGAAGGGCCUGAGUAGCCACAGCCACAAAGAUUCAGGCACCUGCAGGGCCUUCAAACACAGGCAAAUGCAUGGGGGAGGCUGUUUGGUGCAACAGGCACUGGAAUGGAAAAGGUCAACCCAGCUCCAACUUCUGACUCCAACAUUUCUUAUCUGAGUGUGUGACCUUGAACAAGGAUCGAAGAUCAGUGAGAUGGUGUGUGAAGGGCUUCACCUUGCUUCUAGCAGCUAAGUUCAGUGGGAAGCUAUCACUGUCACCAGCAACACCAGGGUACAGAGGGACCAGCUGGAGCUGAUUUCAGAGAAAAGUCAAGACACCGGAUACUUUUACGAGCCCGUGAGCCCUCACACAGGGGCUAUAUACUGUUUCUUUUCAGCUUUUGAAAGAACCGGGAAUAGUCUGAGCACCCCAAGUCCAGGGACCCCAGCCUGGGAACCUCUGGCCCAGAGAAUCAUAAAGUUGCUUCCAUCUCUGACAUUCAAGGUCUCAGAACAUUUCAGCUGUGCUGAGGGUCAGCCAAGCCUCUUAAAAGAAACCCGCGUGGUCAGCAGCAGCUGGGCCUGCAGUGAAGCCAAGGUAGACCACAGGAGGAGCUGCCGCAGCCCAGAGCCCCGCCUCCCAGGGCCAGGGCCCCUGCAGAAGAGUCGCACAUCAGAGGAAAGCUCACAGCCUCCUGUUCAGUGCAUCCGGGAACUAAAUCUCCACGCCCCCUCCCACCUCUCUGAUCUGAAAAAGGCCAGGAGGGAAGGAAAUGGUUAUUUCAAAGGCUGGACGAUCCCCCUUUGCAGACAGGGUCAGAGUCUGAGUCUUGAGCUCUCCAAGGAACUACUGAAAACCAGAACUUUGUCUGCUUCCUUUUCUUCAUUUCUCCUUUCCUUUCUUUGCAGUCCUGUUCUAAAUGUAGAUCUGUAAUCCCGGCUACUCGGGAGACUGAGAUGGGUGGAUUGCUUGAGGCCAGAAGUUCAAGGCCAGCCUGGGCACCAUAGCAAGAUCCUUGACUCUAAAAAAAAUUAAAAAUAAAAUUAUGCAGGCAUGGUGGCAUGCACCUAUAGUCCCAGCUACUAGAGAGGCUGAGGCAGAAGGAUUGCUUGAGCCCAGGAGUUUGAGGCUGCAGUGAGCUAUGAUCACACCCCUGCACUCCAGCCUGGGUGACAAUCCAACGUGAUCAUCAUAUAAAUGAUGAUAAAUAAAUACUUAUUUAUUGAUAAAAAUAAAUAAGUAAGUAAAUAAGAUCUUGGAGGCCAUGAUUCAGGCUGUCAAGGAACAGAAACCUAACCAUCAACGGGAGGGAAAAACCUCAGGAUCUCGGUGUUGUAGGAGUGAUCUCGGGGUAAACCACACACUAGUGGAGUC
rnacentral:lncRNA from 10 species